rnacentral:lncRNA from 1 species
CUCUCUCUCUCUCUCUCUCUCUCGGUCUCCUUUCGUCCUUUAACCUCCGCCUUUUCUGCCUUUCGUCUUUAUCAUUCUCUUUCUGUUUUCCUCUUUUUUUCUGCUGCUAUUACUAUAUGAAUUACAUGUAUAUAAAAGGUUAAUUCCUCCAAGAUAAAAAUAAGUUACAUUUUCCUUCUUUGCCUCUUAUCAAUCAUUUAUUAUUUUUCUCUCUCUCCCCUCCCUUUCUUCUUUGCAUUUUAUUAUUUAUUUCUACAUUUACGUGCAAUGAUUCACGUCUAUUUGUUAGAAUAGAUUGCAAUAAAUUGCUUCUCUCUUGCGCAUUCUUUCUCUCUUUGUCUUGUUAUUUUUUCAUCUCGAUCUCACCGAUGGAUGCACACCGGUUAAUUAAAGCGAGAGGGUAUAAUGAGUCGCGUGCUUGGUGACUGAUGGCGCGAGAGAUAAGGAAAGAGAACGAGACGAUAAUGUGCGAAAAGAACAAAGAAAGCGAAAAAGAGAGAGAGAGAGAGAGUGAGAGUGUCUCUACCCCCUAUAUUCGAAUAAUUGUCACCUUUUGUCAUCGUUCAAUUGUACAAAUCGUUCGACAAUGAUGCUCCUCCCUGAUGGGACAAGUUUUUCAGAGAAGACGCCGAUUAAAAGGAUUUAUGGGCGAUCUUGAUAAGAAUCGUGGAAUGCAUGUUUCAGGAUCCCACAAAUUAGUGAAAAGAAUAAAAGCUACAAGUGUCGCUCGUUUUCAAUUGUUGCAGGAUGUUCAUGACAUAUGUGUUACAUAUGCAUAAAAUAUUGUUAUAUUACAUAUCUUUAAUCUUGCGCGUUUUUAUCUUUUGUUCCGUUUGACAUUAAGAUGUUAAUACAGAUCCAAUUUUAUUCCCAAAUGAUUUUAGUAUCGAAUAAAGUGACGAAAAUAAUGGUCGUUCAAUAUUUUUUAACUUUAUAAUUCUUGAGAUAUCAUUUCCGACUUAAUCAGUUCUUUGCUUUGCGCAUGUGUGUGAGAAAGAAAGAAAAAGAAGGAGAGAGAUACUAUUCUCUCUUGAUUUUUCCAUUUUCUUUUUACGUAGAGACAGAGAAUUUCUUGACGGGAGGUCCACGCCACCGGCACUACGUCAUACUAUGGAUAAACUUUAUCCUGUGAACUUAAAAAUCGAAACCUCUUUGCGGCUAACUGUAACGGCGAGGGUAAGUCUGCAUUUUUCAAGAAAGGGUGACGAAAAUAAGGAACAACGUGGAGGACAAUAUAAUUUUCUACAUCCUGUACCAACAUCCAUUGUGCGUUUUCCACCAGCUUGAUGGACUCUCAAAUUUCGUUAAAAGUCUCGCUAACGUUACCAUAAAAGCAUCUCAAGAAACUUCCCGUUUAAAACGCUUCUUUCACAAACUCUCCGUUCGUAAUUAUUUCGGAGUAUUAUUUCGUACUUCGUACUCACAAAUGACAUAUUACUAAAUAUAUUUAAUAGUUAUUGAACAUGUGUACAUAAAUUUAUUUCGCUCUUAAUAAUCCUCUCAUUAAUUAAUUACAAUUAUCAAGAAGAUUUUCUCCUGCUAAAAGUAGAUUUAGAUUUAUGAAAUAACAGCAAAUAUUCGAGAUAUACAAUAAUCGAUCAGAGCUUUGUGACAAAUGACAAAGAAAACAAUGCUUUAACACAAUAGUAAACGCGAGGAUAAGUAGGGCUAAUUCAGUCCCUAAUUUUUGUAUUUUCACAGAACGUCGAACACGGGCUCUUCGUGUUUGUAGAAUUUUAUUGCAUAUUUAUAUCUUUAUUGAAAGCUUAAUUGGAUUUGUUGUAAUUUGUAUAUUUGUUCACAUUUGUUUCACGUGAAAGCAUACACGAUGUCCUACAAAUAGGAUAGAUUUUAUUUUAAGCCAACUUAGAGAAAAUUAUAUUUUACACAUAGUGUCUUACUUUAGCUAUAAAAGAUAAUUUAUAUUCAGCUAAAAGAAUAAACAUUUGAUCCAAAUUUUAAAAAUCAAUAUAAAAUAUCUUUCAUAUAUCCGAUACUGUAUAUAAUGUACCCCUUUAAACAUGUAACUUAACUUUUCUGCUACAUCUUUUCUAAAUUUUAACAGUUUAAAAAAAGCUAAAUACGAAACUGUCACUGAGUCUAUCACCUUACGUUAUCAACUUCUCAUACGAAUCAAAUUUUCAGUGUCCUCUUGGAGGAGGAUGCGACUCUCGUAUUGCCGUGUUUCUCAGGACAAAUGCGAUACAUCGCCUUCAUGAAAGAAAUAUCGAUUCUAACGUGCGACGGAUGUUAUUGCGCUUCUCAGGAGUCACUCGAUGCAGAGACGACGGAUAAUAAAGAGAAAUGCGUUACGGAGGUAGACAUGGCGUCGACAUCAUCCCGUUGUGGACUGGCCACAAUCGCACGGCUGCUGAAGAAAUGGCGGAAUGAUAGUUGGUGAGAUACCUUUAUGAUAUAAUGGAAUGAAAGCUUUGCAAAUUGCGAGAGGAAAAGCAAGAAAGGGAAAAAGAGAGGGAGAGGGAGAGAGAGAGAGGGGGGGAAGAGAGAGAGAAACUUGGUCCAGCUUUCGAAGUAUGCGGGUGGCUUGUAGUCUUCAAUGUAGUAAUGGUGCACAUAUGUAACGACCACCCAGGUAUAUACAUGUGUACGAACACUUUAGGAAAAGUGCAGGUACAUAGAGACGUAUACGGUGUCGUGGGAUUCGCUAAGAUGGGUUCGAAGUACGUGCGUUAUUAUUAACAUCACGUACGCUAAUAUUAUUAUUAUUAUUAUUUUUACUUGCAGGAUACAAUCUUAACUUUUUCAGAAUUGCUAUACGAGUUACGUCUUUACUUUAAUAACAGUUUCGUUUCUUGUUAAUAUUUUUACCUAUUUUCAUUCGUCAUAUUCUUUUCAGGAAAGAAUUCAGAAUUGAUAUUAAAAUAUUUAUUUAUUUAUUUUUCCUAGCAAUUCGAUAAAGUUGAAAAAAUUAACAUAGUUUAUACAAUCGAUAUUAUCUCUAAUCUCAGGUGCAAAAGAAAGAAGAAGGCACUUCUAUCUUUAGCCAAAAUUAAUUUCAAUAUUUUGAUAAAUAAUUGUCGAGAUAAUUUUUUUGUUAUUAUUUCAAUAUUAUAAAAAGUGUAACGAUCAAAAUUUGUUAUCUGAAACAUUUUAUGAAAGUUCUUAGAAUUAUUUAUUAACCUAGAAUUAUUUAUCGACAUAAUCAUUCAUUGCUUCAAGUGCUCGGGGACCCUCGUGAGGAUCAUCAUGAAUCAUUAUGUCAGGUUUAUAUCAACGCAAAGAUCACAAAGGGUUAAUGGAUAUAAGUAUUGACACAUUCGUCGAUAAAGAUCGCUGAAGAAGAUGAACGAGAUACUAUAUGUGUGUGUUGAUGUAAAUAUAAUCCUGAUAGAUUUUAAAAGCCCAUGCGCACUUGAAGUACGAUCUUGCAAAAGAGAAUCCACAUGUGCUUGCGAAAUCUUACGAGUGAUUUUUGGGUCUCUCUGAGCUAAGUAAACGAGAUAUUUCUCUCUGUCCAUUUUAUUGUGGUGCAGGUAUGAAAAAACGGAUAUACGUAGGCGAGGAUAUUGGUGUGAGUUCUAUCCUUCGUUAUACAGGGUGUUCUAGCCUUUCGAUUCAAGUAAAGAACAAAAGUGAACUGAUCACUGUUAUGCAUGACCAAUUAAAAAAAAAAA